UGUCAGGACAAUAACGCUGAAAGCAUUUGAAAUUUAUCAAUUUUCACUCUAGCAGAAGGUAGUUUCGGACUUUGCCGAUUAUUACAAAUGAGGCCUUAUCACUGAAGUUUGUAACAUCCGAUAUCAGCGGAUAACUGCCAUUGCAUUUAGCGACAGCUGUAAACAGAAUGGCAGAAGAACCUUUUGAGAGGACGGAAAAGAAACCCGAGCCUGUCAGCAUUACCUCCCCUGAAAUGUAAGAAACUGGUGGAUUCCAAGACAAAAUUGUGGAAAAUGGAGACAUCUUCAAAUAACAGAAAGAAAUAAAGGCUGAAGAGGCAGGAUCACAGAUGUCAGAUGAAAGUUACCGCAAAAAAGGUUAAGUUGGAAAAGAGUGAAAAUGAAAAUGGAUGCUUGUGCAGUGACUGAAGUUGAAGUCAUAAAUUGAGGAUGAUGAAGCUACACGAAAAAGCUCUCAGCUCUACAGUCCGAGUCUGACCGACUUGUCCGACGAGCCACUGUCGGCGGCACUGCGAUCGCAGGCCCCUCACGGUGUGUGCUUACUCAGGCAAGUGUCGUGGGGAUUUGUUAAUGUAGAGGCUGACUGUACGCUGUAGGUGUCUGCAGACUUCCAUCAUUAGAGGAACAGUUCUAUGAACAGUACAUGCCAUUCUCGGGAGUGUGGACCACUUCGUUGGUUACUCGAGUUCCUCAUCUGACCCCAGAACUGUCAUUUACUGCAGCUAGGCAUUUAGCACUAAUAAAAUGUGAGUUACAUAAAAUGGAAGUGUCCGACAUAUCAGCAGCCGUGAAGAUAUGAAAAUUUAAAGGCAUCU